rnacentral:rRNA from 1 species
CGCGCAGGCGGUCGUAUAAGUCGAAUGUGAAAGCCCCCGGCUCAACUGGGGGAGGGUCAUUCGAUACUGUUCGACUCGAAGGCAGGAGAGGGAAGUGGAAUUCCGGGUGUAGUGGUGAAAUGCGUAGAUAUCCGGAGGAACACCAGUGGCGAAGGCGACUUUCUGGCCUGUUCUUGACGCUGAGGCGCGAAAGCUAGGGGAAGGCAAACG